rnacentral:tRNA from 94 species
CGCGGGGUGGAGCAGCUCGGUAGCUCGCUGGGCUCAUAACCCAGAGGUCGCAGGUUCAAAUCCUGUCCCCGCUACAA